CCCAGCCCUUGCCACCUGCAGCUCUGCAUCAUUAACUGCAUCUCCUUUAAUUUCAUCUCGUUCAUUUAAAAUGUUAGACUCGGAAUGUGAGUCCUGGAGGCACCUAAGCAUUGUCUCUUCAUCGACUCUGUUUUACAAAUGGGGACACUGAGGCCUUGGUGGGCUGACUGCCUUGUUUCAGCCUCCUUGGUUCAGGCUCCUAACUCAAGGAAGCAACAGAAACCUGAGCAGCAGACUCAUUUGGUGUUCCAGCGUGUUCCAGAUGCUGGGCGCACAGUCCAAGAACAGGGUAGAGCCCCUCCCCAGCUUCCUUUCUGGAAGGAGCAUAGAAAUCUGCAUAUGAUGACAGUGCAGGAGACCCACACGGGCUGUGAUAGAGAUAAGGGGACUUAGGGAGGAACCCCCCGGGACUCCUAACAGUUGCCACCACCUUCAACCGACCUUAGACCUGCUAGCAGAGAUGGGAAGAGAGCAGAAGGAGCAGCUUCUAGGGCGGGGGAGGAAAAUGCCCCAAUCAGAGGGGCUGCUCCAGGCAAUCUGCACUCACCCCAGGACACUUGCCAUGGAUGAGAUAUGAGAGGACUUACUCGAGGCCCCCCGCCUUGCUGAGAACCAAUCGACAUCGGCCCUGACCUGUACCACCUCCCCACUCCUGGCUCAUCUAGCCCCUGGGACCCGGCCCCAGGUGCUCCCAGCAUCAAUCACCAAGCAGGAAUUUCUCAAGAACUACUAGACAGCAGGACUGCAGCAUGCCCGGGGUUACAGAGAUGAACAAGUGUGGCCCUGAGCUCACGGUCCUGAAGACACAUUCACACUCUGCGUGAGGAAGACACGCCAGCUGCCACCACUCCACCAGCCUGGCAGGGCUCCGCUCCCUGUGGGGACAGCAAAGGCUCGGCCCUGCCUAAUGAGCUCUCGCAAAACCUGGGAUGCCGUUUGGUUCCCUUGGUGGCCCUGUGGCCAAGUCAGGACUCAGCUCGGGCGAUGGUGAAUGCUGGUUGUAGGUCAGACACCCCUGAAUAUUGGCAAGUUCCUACAGUUAAGCCUCCUAAGAACAGCAAUCUUUAUGCAGCAAUUACCUGUGCUGGGCACUAAGGAAUUACGCCUGUUAACUCCAUCCCCUCCGGCCCCCGAGAGAGGGGCUAUUACUCUGCUUUAUAGGCGCGGAUCCACUUCACGCGCUUGUAUGUGAGAUAACGAUCUUCACCCAAGUAAAGCUCUUCGUUGAUUGCAUUCUGUUCUCUCCUGCUUCCAGUUUUCCUCUUGGUAUUUCGUGUAUUGUUUAACUCUUUAAAAAUUUUCUAAAAUUCUUUACUUUGAUGUAUGGUCUUGAAACUUUU
rnacentral:lncRNA from 1 species